CAGGGAGACAACAAAAUGUUAAAUAUUAAUUUUGUCACCUUAGGUCGAUCGGUAUCUCACAUUCUUAAUUUAUUAAGGAUUUUAUUUCCUAAGUUUUUUCUAGGUCACACCCACUACUUUUCCUGGGCCAUUAGCUCAGGUGGUUAGAGCGCACCCCUGAUAAGGGUGAGGUCCCUGGUUCAAGUCCAGGAUGGCCCAUAUCUCUAUGUUGGGGGUAUAGCUCAGUUGGUAGAGCGCCUGCUUUGCAAGCAGGAUGUCAGCGGUUCGAGUCCGCUUACCUCCACUGAUUACCACCUCUUCCAUAAAUUUACAGAAAGGAAAAUUUUUUGGGGUGUGAUCAAAUCUGAACGACUCUAGCUUCCUAAUAAACAUUAUUAAGAUGCUGGACUCAUUGAAUCAAAUUCAUUGUUUUCAGAGAACCUUGACAACUGCAUAGAUUAUUUUUAAAGACAAUAAGCAUCUUUAAUGAUGCAGAUUUAUUAUUUGUGCGAAUGCAUUAAAUAACAAUUCUAUUAAGCUGAUGCUUCAAUUUUGAAGUUAUU
rnacentral:tRNA from 1 species